rnacentral:rRNA from 1 species
UACGAAGGUCCCAAGCGUUAUCCGGAUUUAUUGGGUUUAAAGGGUGCGUAGGCGGGCUAUUAAGUCAGUGGUGAAAGCCCCAAGCUUAACUUGGGAACUGCCAUUGAUACUGAUGGUCUUGAGUACAUUUGAGGUGGGCGGAAUGUGUCAUGUAGCGGUGAAAUGCUUAGAUAUGUCAUAGAACACCGAUUGCGAAGGCAGCUCACAAAGCCACUAUUGACGCUGAGGCACGAAAGCGUGGGGAUCAAACAGG